AUUGAACGCUGGCGGCAGGCCUAACACAUGCAAGUCGAGCGAGCGGCGGACGGGUGAGUAAUGUAUGGGGACUGCCCGAUAGAGGGGGAUAACUACUGGAAACGGUGGCUAAUACCGCAUACUAUCGGAUAACCCAUAUGGGAUUAGCUAGUAGGUGGGGUAAAGGCUCACCUAGGCCACGAUGCAUAGCCGACCUGAGAGGGUGAUCGGCCACACUGGGACUGAGAAACGGCCCAGCCUCCUACGGAGGCAGCAGUGGGAAAUAUUGGACAAUGGGCGCAAGCCUGAUGAAGCCAUGCCGCGUGUAUGAAGAAGGCCUUAGGGUGGUAAAGUACUUUCAGCGGGGAGGCGUUACCCGCAGAGGAAGCACCGGCUAACUCCGUGCCAGCCGCCGCGGUAAUUC
rnacentral:rRNA from 1 species